rnacentral:lncRNA from 1 species
UCCACAACUCAAACAGCCCGCGUGAGGAUCAUAGCCUAUCGGAAGAAGAAUGAAGUACCUAAUCUAAAUUUCAUAUUCAUCCCUAUGACCUAUUCAGACAAGUAACAAUUUUAACAAAAUAAAGGUUAACUAAAAAAAGUGAAAAUCGAUUUUCGAACCAGUACAUUAAAAUAUUCACACAUCAAUGAAAAAUGAGAUCUGAAAUUACAAAUGGACAAAGUUGGAAUAUAACUUUAAAUAAAGCAAGGAAAUCUGAAACAUAGGACCACAAUUAAACUACUGGAAUAAGAAAAAAACGGCACCAACUCUCAUUUUAAUAUAGAAAACCAAAAGCAACUUUUUAGCAAUUUUAAAAUCAAUUCAAUGAAUUCCAUGGAUUAAUGAAGCACAUAUUUGAAAGCUUAAAGGAACAGAGGUUAUAAACAUCACCUCAGCAAAACUGGAAGCAAACAAAUACCCGAGGACAAGAAGAUCAACACGAAAUAACAGUAAUCAAAAAGAAGAACGGACCACACCCCUUGAAAAUAUUCAAUAAAAUCAGAAUGACGACGAAUGAGAACCUCGAACGGAAAAUGAAGCGCUUCGUCGGAGUCUCAACGAAACUCGACCAAACUGCUUUGAACUCGGCUAUAACGGACGCCUUAACUCAGAAGUUACGAAGCAGAGAAGCAGAAAUUGAAACGGCGAUGCUGCUGGUAUUUUCAGCUGUUGAGAAUUGAAAAUUUUGUUUUAUUAUUUUUAGCUGUUUGUUUGAGUUCUCAAUCCCUUCUGAGUGCUGUUCAAUUUCCGAUUUAUAUUUCCAUGCGUGUGUGCUUUGAUUAUGGAGAGUAAGAUGAGAGUGAGCAAGGGAGGAGAAAGGAAUGACGAUGCCUUCAGAGGUGCUCGUUUUUUUUUUGGUUUUUUUAGAGAAAAAUUUCAGAAGCAAAAGAGAGAUCCCUUUUUUGGCGUUAUUUUUUGUGUUUGCUUCCGUCCAUUCUUUUUUUGUAAUUUUUUGGGUCGUUUUUCUUUUGUAAUUUUUCGUGUCCUCUCUUUAAUUUGUGAGGCAAAUGGUUUUUAUAGAGAGUGUGGGAUGGGGUGUUAUGUGAGAGAGUUUUAUUUGAGGAUGAGGUGUUAUGUGAGGAAUGUUUUCGAGGGGAAGGUUUUAGGUAGAGGAAUAUUUUGGGGAAAGAUCUUAGGUGGGUAGAAAUGAUGAUUUUAUAUAAGUAAAAAGAUAGACAUAAUUUUUCGUGAAAAAAGGAAGAGUAUUUCAAAUGUGGGGAUUGUGUAACUGACAUCCUAUAUUUAAGGUAUUUUUCAUUUGCUCCUUUUUUUAUGGUUUUGUAAACUAAUAAAUAUAAAUAUAAUUAAUAAUUAAUAAGGAAUCUAAAUAAAUAUAAUAAUAAGUUUCUACUAUAGCAUAGCUAGGUAAAAGUCCCAUAAAUCCAGUUGUGUUAGUCUUUAAUUAACUUUUGUGGCGGUUUCCUUAGAAGCUUAAAUUGGUCAGCUUUAUAUUUAAGGGACUAUCAUCAUUUCAUAGAAAUGAAGGAGAAAAUUAUAUAUUUUUUGACCCCACACAAUCUAAAAUUCGGAGCACAUUCAAAGUUGCUUUUGCAUCAUUAUCUUACAGAAGAUGUGCUAGCUGCAGGAACAAAUUGAAAGGAAAAAAGCACACUAUAAUAUCCAAUUUGCUAUCUAACGUGACAUAUUGUCUAUUGUCAAUUUGUCUUUGAAAAGAUUUUACCUAACAAUGCAAAGCCAAUGUGAAAUAAUUGAAAGGGUAAGAAUCUCUCCUUUAGGAGAAAAUAAAGAGGCAUAAUAUGAAACAAUACUCAUUACUAAAAUCAUAGCAUGAGCUUUAAAAGGGAGUACCACUUCCACUCCUAGUUUCAGCAGGGCUGUACAAAGCAGAUCGGUUUCUCGGUCUGUUCUCCUCUAACUGCCGUACGACUUCUUCCAUCGACGGUCUAACGGUAGCCACAGGAGCACAACAACCCAUCGCAAGUCUCAAUGCUUGUACCAAACCUUCUUCCAUUGGAUUCCUAAUUCCCUUCAGAAGCUCCACGUCGAAUACCUCCAUCGUUGUUUCCUCCAAAACGGCUACUUUCACUAGUGCAGGCAAAUCAACAUUGUCGCCAUUCUUUCCAGGCUUCUUUCCUAGCAGAAUCUCCAGUAGUAGGAUUCCAAAAGCGUAAACAUCAGUUCUCGAAUUGCACUUCUUCAUCCUUUGCAGCUCAGGUGGCUUGUAACCAUCAGCUUUUGCUAGUGCUAUGAUUUCAUCAGCUACAGCUGGGAUCAUUAUCUUGUCAAGUCCAAAUUCAGUAAGCCUCGCAACGAAGAAUUCAUCAACAAGAACAUUCUUUGACCUAACAUUCCCAUGGGUAAUGGGUGUUUCCAGACCAUGAAGGUGUGCUAGUCCUCUGGCUAUGCCCAAUGCUAUUUUGUGUCGCCUAGCCCAAUUCAAUACUGGCUUCCCAACUCUUGAUUCUGAACACAAUCAGGAUAUAUCAUAAUCAAAUUACUGAUAAAAAAUAUAUCCUAAUCAAAUUUACUUGUCCUUUAAUGUUAUCAUUCACAAUACAGAAACAGCCACAAUAAUUGUGACUAUAUUAGGUUCUGAAAGUCAAAUGGUGCGAUUCAUACUAUCCAAAAUCCACUUUACAAGGAUUUUGAUCACCUAUACCUUCAUUUACCACAAUUUCCCAAUAGUUCUUCCUAUGCCUCAUGGAUAUUCUUUAAGACUGAGUGAUGGUGCAAAACUUGCAUAGCAAAUCAAGGUUGAAAGAACGAUGAAACAGCCACAAAAUCUUUAGAAUACAUGAAGCUUGUAAAAGAAUGAGUGAAGCUUACUCGUCCAAGCUUAAAUGCUGGGAAAUAAGCUAUGAUCAGUUGAUCUAGGGCUACAUAGUUCUUGAAAGUAAAUAAUAGACGCAUGGUUGACCUUGGCAUCUAAUAGUGAUAUCCGUAGUCUAGAGAUAAUGAGCUAUUUUUUCUUUUGUUGGAUGAGUAAGCAAAUAUAAUUUACAACAUGAUGGGGUUGGUUUUUUUCUAGCCUUAUCUUGAUUUUUCCAACUUUUGGAUACGUUACAUUUUGAUGAUAAUUUUAUUCAUUUUGUAUUUCAACGUUAAUUUCAGCAAGUCAAUUUGGCUG